rnacentral:lncRNA from 1 species
CAGAGUUUGCCCCCUUCCGGACUAAUUUUGAUUAUCCGGGUAUGUUUGCCGAUGAAGGGGUGCGAGCUAAGGCUACCCAGCUACUUCUGACGAAGCCUGGGGAUUGGAUACGUGAGGAGCUCACUAAAGCUCUAUCUGCUGUAAGUGACUUAAACUCGCUUUCUAACUUAUGUAUUUCCGUGCUAAUUUAAUUGUUUUUUUUGUAGGC